GGAAGGAACGAGAUCAAGAAAAAGACACAGGGAAAAAGAUGGAACUGAUGGGGGUGAUCCACCAAAAAAGAACAGAACUGUGGAGGAAGUCUGGAACGAAGAUCCCCAAAGUAAAGAAAAAACAGCAAUGGAAAGGAUUUCCACAAACCUGGAAGAGAAUGAGUUGGUAUAGCAUAUUCUGUUAAAUUUUUUAUUUUCUCUUAUUAAAUUUAUUUCAGCAGGUCAAGUUCAUGUUAUUGUUAUGUGGAAUUUUUUUAUUUUUGUUGGAGAAGCAUCCAUUUCUUAAGGAUGCCAAACUGGCUUCUGAGUGGUGCCUCAGGAAUGGUCUUCAAGGAAAGGUCUCCCUCCCCGAAAUUCUCUCCAUGGAUCCACCAGAGAGAGCAGAUGUUAUCCAACAAACAAGAGAAACUGACUGGACCAUCGAAAACAGCUGGGAAGAUGUUUAUGAGCCAUUCAUGUUUACAUUCAAAUGUCAAGCAGACUAUGAAAACUUCAUGAUCGAGUGUGUUGAGAAACAAAACCUAAAAAUCUGUGCACGUUUUCACUAACUACAAAUAAAAUGGUACUGACGGGAAAUAAAAAUGUUUGCAAAGGCUCUGUUUUGUUUUUAGAUUCACAUGGAUAAACUCAG